ensembl:misc_RNA 7SK 7SK RNA
GGAUGUGAGGGCAAUGUGGCUGUGAUAUUGUCACCCUAUCAAUUGUCAGGAUUGAUUCAACUGAUCUGGCUGGGUAGGUGGAUGUUCCUUUCCUUCCUCACUGCUCCAUGUGUGUCCCUCCAGAAGCUGUGUGCUCAAAGGAGGAACUGCUGUGACAGAGGAGGACCAUUUGUCAGUAAAAGGUAUUCAAGUAGCUACACUCCCCCUACUACAACCCAUAAACAAGCUCUUAUGGUCCAUUUAUAGGAGAAUAUAGACUAGUCAAGUUUCCAAGACUCCAGACACAUCUAAAUGAGGUGCUGCAUGUGGCAGUCUGCCUUUCUUU